rnacentral:rRNA from 1 species
UACGUAGGGUGCGAGCGUUUAAUCGGAAUUACUGGGCGUAAAGUGUGCGCAGGCGGCCGAGCAAGUCGAGUGUGAAAGCCCCGGGCUUAACUUGGGAAUUGCGCUCGAAACUACUUGGCUGGAGUGUGGCAGAGGAAGGUGGAAUUCACGUGUAGCGGUGAAAUGACGUAGAGAUGUGGAGGAACACCGAUGGCGAAGGCAGCCUUCUGGGCC